CGGUUCGAUGGCGUAAUUGGUUAUCGCAUCUGUCUAACACACAGAAGGUCCCCAUUUCGAGCCUGGGUCGAUUGA
rnacentral:tRNA from 1 species